rnacentral:pre_miRNA from 1 species
AAGAGGAACAACCCCAGUGGCGGGGCCAGCUCUGGAGCCCUGCAUUCAGCUCCUGCAGUAACUCCGGAGCUCUCCGUCUGCAGGGCCUGGAGGCUCUGGGGCGGG